rnacentral:rRNA from 1 species
UACUAGAGUAGCACUCGCAUAUCAAUAAGCGGAGGAAAAGAAACUAACAAGGAUUCCCCUAGUAACGGCGAGUGAAGCGGGAAGAGCUCAAAUUUGAAAUCUUAAAGGGUUUCCCUUUACGAAUUGUAGUUUAAAGAAGUGUUUUCUGUUGAGGUUUUGGUAAAAGUUCUUUGGAAUAGGACAUCAUAGAGGGUGAGAAUCCCGUAUUUGACCUUUACUUUCAACUUUGUGAUACACUUUCAAAGAGUCGGAUUGUUUGGGAAUGCAGUCCAAAAUGGGUGGUAAAUUUCAUCUAAAGCUAAAUAUUGGCGAGAGACCGAUAGCGAACAAGUACCGUGAGGGAAAGAUGAAAAGAACUUUGAAAAGAGAGUUAAACAGUACGUGAAAUUGUCAAAAGGGAAGCGUUUGACACCAGUGUUGUUUUUCUGAAAAUCAAUUAAAGAACUGUUUAUGCUAAGCUGUUUAGACUUUAUCAGCUAUCUGUUUAGUUUUGAGCUUUUCUUUAAUGCACUUUUCAGUUAACAAGUCAACAUCAAUUUCUUUUGCUGUAAAAAAGCUUGAGGAAGGUGGCUUGAGAUUCGUCUUAAGUGUUUAUAGCCUCUUGCCUAUGCAGUCGGAGAGAUUGAGGUCUGCAGCGUAGAUCCUUUGGGGCUAAAUGCAUUUGUGCUAAGUUAUAGCAUUUUAUAGACAACUUGUUGACUAUGAUUUGUCUUGUAGCUUACUCGCUUAUGUUAUUUUACCUACGCUUAGGAUGUUGAUCUCUCACAGUCGAGC